GAGAGCCGGAUGACCGGGAAACCGUCAUGUCCGGUUCGGCGGGAGGCCGCGCGGAACAGGACCUGCCACGGCAGACACCUCGCCGCGCGGCCGACCCAAC
rnacentral:ncRNA from 1 species